CAUGCCUUAACAUACUAAGUUUUUUACUUUUAUUUUCGUUGUAGGCAAACAAAGCAGCGGACGCCGGCGAUUAUGUCUUCGCAGAUUCAAAAGCUAGAACUGCCAGAAAUUGUGUCAUUGCUGCGUUUGUGUUUGGAAUAAUUUGUGUAAUCAUAACUAUUAUAGCAAGAGCUGCCCAGUUAGAGUCAGACAGCAGUCAUGUUCACCAGGGUAACUGAUGACGAAAGUACCAAGUGACAUUUUGUAAAAAGCAGACAGACAUUCCUCUACAGUGGUCUUUAAAUUUAUACAAUUAUAAAUAGUUUAUACUGUUUAACCUCAUAUGUAAAUUAUUAAUACACUUGGUUUAAAUAUUCAACUGAACGCUAAUUCGAGCGUUGUGUAAAGUGCGAUUGCUCGUUUUCGCCUUUUAAUCCGACAUAUAAAAUGGAUUGGACAAUUUUAUUCUGUACAUUAAAUAUUUAAAGAUGUCUUUGUUUU
rnacentral:lncRNA from 1 species